rnacentral:rRNA from 1 species
AUGCUUCGCUGUUACGCACCGGUGGUACCGAUUCCAAACGACUUGAAUUACCCUGCAGCCUAUAUAAAUGUCCCGGAAGACCGUAGUCCAUACGACUCCGUCACCCUCACCGUGGUCGACGACAUCGCAUAUGCGGGCGUGACCAUGCUCAACGCCAUCAAACUCGGAGCCCAGCAUGUGGCCAGCAUCCAGGGCGACGCCGCCGCCGUCAAGUAUGAGGGGAGCGGCGACCGUUGGGACGAGGGGUACGACGUGACGGCCAAGUUCCUAGACUACUGCGACUCGCUCAAGGCCGGGUUCGUGGCGGAGAUGAACAGCAAGCUCAAGGACGGAUACAGCGACGACUACUUCGUGCAGAUCCUGGGGAAGAGCGUAGACCAGCUGUGGAACGACUACAAGGCCAAAUACCCCCAGCCCCAGGGCUGA